rnacentral:rRNA from 1 species
GAUGAACGCUGGCGGCGUGCCUAAUACAUGCAAGUCGAGCGAACAGAUGAGGAGCUUGCUCCUCUGACGUUAGCGGCGGACGGGUGAGUAACACGUGGAUAACCUACCUAUAAGACUGGGGUAACUUCGGGAAACCGGAGCUAAUACCGGAUAAUAUAUUGAACCGCAUGGUUCAAUAGUGAAAGACGGUUUUGCUGUCACUUAUAGAUGGAUCCGCGCCGCAUUAGCUAGUUGGUAAGGUAACGGCUUACCAAGGCAGCGAUGCGUAGCCGACCUGAGAGGGUGAUCGGCCACACUGGAACUGAGACACGGUCCAGACUCCUACGGGAGGCAGCAGUAGGGAAUCUUCCGCAAUGGGCGAAAGCCUGACGGAGCAACGCCGCGUGAGUGAUGAAGGUCUUCGGAUCGUAAAACUCUGUUAUUAGGGAAGAACAAAUGUGUAAGUAACUAUGCACGUCUUGACGGUACCUAAUCAGAAAGCCACGGCUAACUACGUG